GAACACCCAGUUAAAUUUGAAUUUCAGAGAAAUGACAAGUAAUUUUUAAUAUAAGUAUGUUUUAUGCAAUAUUUGGGACAUACUUAUACUGAAAAAUUAUUUAUCUGAUAGUCACAUUUAACUAGAUGUC
rnacentral:miRNA from 1 species